rnacentral:rRNA from 1 species
AUUGAACGCUGGCGGCAGGCCUAACACAUGCAAGUCGAGCGGAAACGAGUUAUCUGAACCUUCGGGGAACGAUAACGGCGUCGAGCGGCGGACGGGUGAGUAAUGCCUAGGAAAUUGCCUUGAUGUGGGGGAUAACCAUUGGAAACGAUGGCUAAUACCGCAUAAUGCCUACGGGCCAAAGAGGGGGACCUUCGGGCCUCUCGCGUCAAGAUAUGCCUAGGUGGGAUUAGCUAGUUGGUGAGGUAAUGGCUCACCAAGGCGACGAUCCCUAGCUGGUCUGAGAGGAUGAUCAGCCACACUGGAACUGAGACACGGUCCAGACUCCUACGGGAGGCAGCAGUGGGGAAUAUUGCACAAUGGGCGCAAGCCUGAUGCAGCCAUGCCGCGUGUAUGAAGAAGGCCUCGGUUGUAAGUACUUUCUAGUCGU